rnacentral:misc_RNA from 1 species
GGUAAGGAACAGCCCUAGCACUAAGUAUGCUAGCAUUGUGCUGGGAGGAAGCAAUAUACUUAUUGGAGCCUACAGGCCGUGAGGCAGAAGGCACCUGCCACCUAACCGAUGAAGAAUGCGUUCUACCAAAUUGAGGCACAGAACAAGUGUUCGGUGAAUUGUAUCCAGAUCUAUCAGUUGCAAACGCCUGUCCAGAUGACCCUGCCCUUUUGAAUGCUGUCCGGGGAGUAAAAAACUGGGGACCCAUGUGACCAACACUGUGCCUUCUAUCCCCUGGAGUAACAUUAAUGCUUGCAUUGCGCAACUGUUGAGAGACAACAUGGCUAUGAAAUUUGUCUCUAAGAGCAG